ACGCCUGAUGACCUGAGGUGCAACAGUUUCAUCCCGAAACCAUCCCCCACCCCCAGUCCAUGGAAAAAUUGUCUUCCACGAAGCCAGUCCCUGGUCCUGGAAAAGGUUGGGGACCGCUGCCCUAAACCGUGGUUGGUGGCAGUGUGUAGACUCGGUGACUGUUGUUCCAAGAACUUCUUUAGGACUUGGGCCAACUUGAGGGUAGAAGUGAAUUAUUGACAGGCGCUUGCACUGAAGGACCUGGCUCCAGAGUGCUCACAGUUAUCUGUUUGUCCAAGUCAUAUGGCAGUCAGUUGGUCAUGUUCGGAGUUUGACCUGAAUGAGAUUCGCCUGAUAGUUUACCAGGACUGUGACAGGAGAGGCAGACAAGUCUUGUUUGACUCUAAAGCUGUUCAAAAGAUUGAGGAGGUGACAGCUCAGAAAACAGAGGAUGUUCCUAUUAAAAUAUCAGCCAAGUGCUGCCAGGGAAGCAGCAGUGUCAGCA
rnacentral:lncRNA from 10 species